AUUGAACGCUGGCGGCAUGCUUUACACAUGCAAGUCGAACGGUAACAGGGUGCUUGCACCGCUGACGAGUGGCGAACGGGUGAGUAAUGCGUCGGAACGUGCCGAGUAGUGGGGGAUAACGCAGCGAAAGUUGUGCUAAUACCGCAUACGUACUGAGGUAGAAAGUGGGGGACCUUCGGGCCUCACGCUAUUCGAGCGGCCGACGGCUGAUUAGCUAGUAGGUGAGGUAAAGGCUCACCUAGGCGACGAUCAGUAGCGGGUAUGAGAGGAUGAUCGGCCACACUGGGACUGAGACACGGCCCAGACUCCUACGGGAGGCAGCAGUGGGGAAUUUUGGACAAUGGGCGAAAGCCUGAUCCAGCCAUGCCGCGUGUCUGAAGAAGGCCUUCGGGUUGUAAAGGACUUUUGUCAGGGAGGAAAUCCCUAGUGCUAAUAACACUGGGGGAUGACAGUACCUGAAGAAUAAGCACCGGCUAACUACGUGCCAGCCGCCGCGGUAA
rnacentral:rRNA from 1 species